CCUACGGGGGGCUGCAGUGGGGAAUAUUGGACAAUGGGGGCAACCCUGAUCCAGCCAUGCCGCGUGUGUGAAGAAGGCCCUCGGGUUGUAAAGCACUUUCAGUGAGGAAGAACGCCUGGUGGUUAAUACCCAUCAGGAAAGACAUCACUCACAGAAGAAGCACCGUCUAACUCCGUGCCAGCAGCCGCGGUAAUACGGAGGGUGCGAGCGUUAAUCGGAAUUACUGGGCGUAAAGCGCGCGUAGGUGGCUUGAUAAGCCGGUUGUGAAAGCCCCGGGCUCAACCUGGGAACGGCAUCCGGAACUGUCAAGCUAGAGUGCAGUAGAGGAAGGUAGAAUUCCCGGUGUAGCGGUGAAAUGCGUAGAGAUCGGGAGGAAUACCAGUGGCGAAGGCGGCCUUCUGGACUGACACUGACACUGAGGUGCGAAAGCGUGGGUAGCAAACAGGAUUAGAUACCCUAGUAGUC
rnacentral:rRNA from 1 species